rnacentral:rRNA from 1 species
GACGAACGCUGGCGGCGUGCUUAACACAUGCAAGUCGAACGAUGACGACCGAGCUUGCUCGGUCUGAUUAGUGGCGAACGGGUGAGUAACACGUGAGCAACCUGCCCUUCACUCUGGGAUAACCUCGGGAAAUCGGGGCUAAUACCGGAUAUGAGCUCCUGUCGCAUGGCGGGUGUUGGAAAGUUUUUCGGUGAAGGAUGGGCUCGCGGCCUAUCAGUUUGUUGGUGAGGUAGUGGCUCACCAAGGCGAUGACGGGUAGCCGGCCUGAGAGGGCGACCGGCCACACUGGGACGGAGACACGGCCCAGACUCCUACGGGAGGCAGCAGUGGGGAAUAUUGCACAAUGGGCGAAAGCCUGAUGCAGCGACGCCGCGUGAGGGAUGACGGCCUUCGGGUUGUAAACCUCUUUCAGCAGGGAAGAAGCGAAAGUGACGGUACCUGCAGAAGAAGCGCCGGCUAACUACGUG